AGGAGGAACAACCCCGGUGGCUGCUGCAGCUGUGGAAACCUGGAUUCAGCUCCCGCAGUAACUCCAGAGCUCUCUGUAUGCAGGGCCUGGAGGCUCCGGGGUGGG
rnacentral:pre_miRNA from 1 species